AUGGUUUAGAAAUGCUUUGGGGUGGGUUAGAAGACUACAGGAUUGUGAUAAUUAAUCUUUGUUGGUGACGUGCCAGGUUUGAGAGGAGUUUUAGAGGUUAUCAAAGCACACGCUUGUGUAUAUCUGUUAGUGUGUUUUUACAGAGGAUUGGGUGGGAUGAAAGAUCCAGCUUACACAUGAGCAUCACCAUCCAACACGGGGCCUUAGGACAUGCAAUAAAAUAGGAAGAAUGGAGAAUGCCUGCUACCAUGGGCAUAGUUUCCUUCUGCUUCCUUUUCUCCAUGAGGUUAGCUGCUUUGCUCUGCUUCCUGCUCCCUGCCAUGGCAUUCAGCCUCACAUGUCAGGCACAGAGCAAUGGAAACAGGCUGAAAUCUCUGAGACUGUGAGCUAAAAUUAAUCCUUUAAAUUCUUCUAUCAUGUUUAAAUCACAGGAAUGAGAAAGGGUGACAGGAAGAAUUACAGGAUUAAGACAAUUUUUGUUGGUUUUUUUUUUAAAUUCUUGGCUGGAGAGUUGAUAGGGUUUAGACUGUUAGAGCCAGUUAGGUUUCUACGUAGGUUUUAGAAUAGACAGACACUUGAAUUUUAAUAUAGUAAAGGUUUUAUUUUAAAUGUCAAAUUUGAGACCUCCUCAAUACAUUGAGGUUUCCCUUUAUGUAAUAUUUUAUUUCCUUUUACUUGCUACAUAUUGCAACACACACACACACACACACACACACACACACACACACACAUAUGUGUGUGUAUAUUUCUUUUUCUUUUUUAAAGCAUUUUUAUUAGAUAUUUUCUUCAUUUACAUUUCAAAUGCUAUCCCCAAAGCCCCCUAAUUCCCUCCCCUGCCUUGCUCCCCAACCCACCCACUCCCUCUUCCUGGCCCUGGCGUUCCCCUGUACUGGGGCAUAUGAUCUUUGUGAGACCAAGGGCCUCUCCUACCACUGAUGGCCGACUAGGCCAUCCUCUGCUACAUAUGCAGCUAGAGUCACCACAGCUCUAGGGGGUAUUUCUUUUCAUUGAGAUAUAAUUCAGUUGCCAUACUAUUCACUCCUUUUAAAGUUUGUUUUUAAGGAAGUUAUUUUAAUUUACGUGUGUGUGUGUGUAUACGUGUGCCACAUUUAUGCUGAUAUAUGUGAAAGCCAGAAAAGAGGGUGUUAGAUCCCUUGGAGCUGAAGUUACAGGUAGAAAAAAAGCCACCUAAAGUAGAUUCUGAAACUGAACUCAGAUUCUAUGGAAGAGCAGCAGGCAUUCUAAACCACUGAGUCAUCUCUCCAGACCCUAUUUUAAAGUUUAUAAUUCCAGAUUUUGGUACAAUUAGAUAAUUAUGCAGUCAUAUUUUACAAAAACAUCUUAUAAUAAAAGUUAUAAUUUAAAAAAGUAUGAAAUAAAGUCUCAUAUAUAUUAUUAGUUAUUAACCCAUCUUUUUUUCAACCAGUCCUUAAUAACCAGUAAUUCAAUUUAUAGAUUCACCUAUUCUAAACAAUUCUUAUAAGUACAAUCAUGUAAUAUAUGGCUUUUCAUGCAUAGCUUUUACUUUAACACAGUUUCAUGGUUUAUAAUCAUAUUUUGUUUACUACCCUAUUGGUAAAUAUUUGAGUUGUUGAAAUAUUUCAGUGUUUUAGAUCAAUUUUGUGUUUGACUUAAAACUUUUUUUUUAGGCUUAUUCCCUUUGAGGCAUGUGUCAGUAUGCCAAGGCAUACUUGAAACUAUCAGAGCUUGCGGGUCAUUUUCAUAUAUUUACAUGUGAUUUAGCUAUAUAAUGUUUUAGAUAGCUAUGUAAUGUCUAUAAAUACAUAUAAUAUGUUAUGGAAAAUUCAUUUUCUGUAUCUACUGUUGUUUAAGGAAGGAAUAAGAAGAUGAGAAAGUUUGAGAACUACUAAUUUUGGUUGGCAUUGUCAUAGUUAUUUGAAGUUUUCUUUUAAAGUGAAUUAAUGGAGUAAAUAAAUCUCUUUAUGUCAGUAAAAAGUAGAGAGGUACUUUUUGUUGUUGUUAGAUGCCUAUUCAAGACUGAAUUACUUAGUUGUGUUUUUGAAAUGAUUUUUUUUUUAGGAUCCAUUUUGUGAUUUCUUAAAUCGAGGUAUAUAAAUCAGUGCAAACUGAAUUUUUAUACUGUGAUAAGAUUGUUUUUCUUAAUUAUAGUGAAAUCAAGAAUUGCUAAUAGAGCAAAGUUUACUCUUGGAUUUGGUUUGUGCUGGUGCUUUCCUAAAAUAUGCUAGGUUUCCAUCUGUCCUCAGUAAAUAGAUUUUUAAAUCUUUGAAGUUAUAAAUUAUAGAAGUUUGGGUACACAGCCAUGUAAAUAGACUGUGUUAUAAGGUCUCCAAAUUCUGUAAGGUUCCCAAUUGAUACAAUGGGAUUAAUAUUUUAUAGAAAAUUAGAAGAACUAAUUUAGAGGUUAUUAGAUCAAUUUCUUUAGAAGGAUGGUUGAGAUUUAAAGUUUUUAAAUUUUAUGUCUCAUACAAUUUUUGCUGAUGUUUGAGUAAAGUGAUUGUACUUGCAGUCAGUGGCACUGAGUUUUGCAGUUGUUUGGGAUUUUAGUGUUGCAAAGCAGUGUUGGUUUGAAACUUAAAUAGCAAAAUGGCUUUAGAUAGUGGUCCAAGAAAACAGUGUUAAGAAGGACAUUUUUUGCUAUCACUCUAGUGGAGUGCCAGAUAACAUUUGAACAAAUACUUUUCAUAAAAUGGAAAAUACUUGAAGUCAGGAUUUCGUCUUUGUUGCUACGUUUAUCUCAUUGGCUCACAUUUGAAAGAUGAAUGUUUAUCAUUUGUAAUUUUCUAACAGUAAGAUAAAUUCUUUAUGCCAUUAGGUGUUGCUUAAUAAAUUUUUAAAAAUAUUUAAAUACGUUUUUAAUAAUAUUUAAUACGUUUUAUGUGAUAGGUUUUUUAAAUUCUUCACAAAAUAUUAUUAUACUAAUACUGUAUUUGCUUAAUUUUAUGAAGUCUCUCUUUUAAAACUUAUCUAGGGUAAGAAACGAAACUUUAUGCUCCUAGGUGAGUAGAAGAAGAAGAAGG
rnacentral:lncRNA from 1 species